GACGAACGCUGGCGGCGUGCUUAACACAUGCAAGUCGAACGGAAAGGCCCUGCUUUUGUGGGGUGCUCGAGUGGCGAACGGGUGAGUAACACGUGAGUAACCUGCCCUUGACUGUGGGAUAACUUCAGGAAACUGGGGCUAAUACCGGCUAGGAGCUCCUGCUGCAUGGUGGGGGUUGGAAAGUUUCGGCGGUUGGGGAUGGACUCGCGGCUUAUCAGCUUGUUGGUGGGGUAGUGGCUUACCAAGGCUUUGACGGGUAGCCGGCCUGAGAGGGUGACCGGCCACAUUGGGACUGAGAUACGGCCCAGACUCCUACGGGAGGCAGCAGUGGGGAAUAUUGCACAAUGGGCGGAAGCCUGAUGCAGCAACGCCGCGUGCGGGAUGACGGCCUUCGGGUUGUAAACCGCUUUCGCCUGUGACGAAGCGUGAGUGACGGUAAUGGGUAAAGAAGCACCGGCUAACUACGUG
rnacentral:rRNA from 1 species